AUAAUGGGCUCCCAUAUUAAGUGCAUUACGGUAGGGGCGCUACUGCGUCUAUUACGGUAGCUGAGGGCUGUAGCGUAAGCUAGGAAUGGCGGCAGCCAGUGGGUCAGUAGUGUGUAUGUACUCGGCCAUGCUGCGUGGGCUCUGGGAACACUAAAAGUAAGUAAAAUAGCGUUUUUAUUGUGCUUACUCUGAGAAUUAAACCCAUUUUUAAUGUAUAGGUAGUCAGCAUGGCUCUGUGUGAAGCAGAAACGGUCUUUUAGUGGCUAUAAUUAAAUGUAGUUGUUAUUGUUUGUAGCUCAGAGGGAAACACUCUAUUGUGCUGGGGAUUGCUGGCCACUGAGGGGAGCUGUGGCUGCAUUUAAAGGGUUAGUAUUCAGUAUGAGUUUAAAGGGGGAAAUUCUGAGCAUGUAUGCUUAAUGGUGUAUUAUGUGAUCUGUAGGUGCUGAUUUUGGUGGAUAACUUUGGUGUGGAGCCCACAUGAGAUUCUUAUGGUUGUCAUGGUUGCUGUAUAUGAUUUAAUCUAUGUCACUGUUUUAUCACUGUGAAACAUAUAUUUUGCUAGUAUCUGUUUGUUGUAUAUUUUUAGUAAAUUGGCCUAAUGAAGUAGAUUCUAUCAUUGAUGCUGUUUUUUACAAUUGAGUAUUUUUGGAUUAAAUAAAGGUAAAAGCUGUUUCAAAUUAA